UAAAUACUCCCUCCGUCUCAAAAUUCUUGUCCUACGUUUGUCUAGAAAUAGACGUAUCUAUAUACUAUAGCAUGACUAGAUACAUUUAUAUCUAGAUAAAUCUAAGACAAGAAUUUUGAGAUGGAGGGAGUAAUAU
rfam:Hordeum vulgare subsp. vulgare, WGS project CAJW01000000 data, contig: morex_contig_38780